UGGAAGUCUCAGCUAGAUCGGAUGCCU
rnacentral:piRNA from 1 species